UACGUAGGGGGCAAGCGUUGUCCGGAAUCAUUGGGCGUAAAGAGCGUGUAGGCGGCUCGGUAAGUCCGCUCUGAAAGCCCCGGGCUCAACCUGGGAAUGGCAAUGGAUACUGGCGAGCUAGAGUGUGUCAGAGGAUGGUGGAAUUCCCGGUGUAGCGGUGAAAUGCGUAGAGAUCGGGAGGAACAUCAGUGGCGAAGGCGGCUUUCUGGUCUGUAACUGACGCUGAGGCGCGAAAGCGUGGGGAGCAAACAGG
rnacentral:rRNA from 1 species